rnacentral:tRNA from 1 species
GCGGGUGUGGCGGAACUGGUAGACGCAGCCCAUUGACAAUGCGCAGGGCGAAAGCCCAUGUGGGUUCGAGUCCCACCACCCGCA